UGGGGAAUUUUGGACAAUGGGCGCAAGCCUGAUCCAGCCAUGCCGCGUGCAGGAUGAAGGCCUUCGGGUUGUAAACUGCUUUUGUACGGAACGAAAAGGUGCCUUCUAAUAAAGGGCGCUCAUGACGGUACCGUAAGAAUAAGCACCGGCUAACUACGUGCCAGCAGCCGCGGUAAUACGUAGGGUGCGAGCGUUAAUCGGAAUUACUGGGCGUAAAGCGUGCGCAGGCGGUUUUGUAAGACAGGGGUGAAAUCCCCGGGCUCAACCUGGGAACUGCCUUUGCGACUGCAAGGCUGGAGUGCGGCAGAGGGGGAUGGAAUUCCGCGUGUAGCAGUGAAAUGCGUAGAUAUGCGGAGGAACACCGAUGGCGAAGGCAAUCCCCUGGGCCUGCACUGACGCUCAUGCACGAAAGCGUGGGGAGCAAACA
rnacentral:rRNA from 1 species